rnacentral:tRNA from 1 species
CGGAGCGUGGCGCAGCCUGGUAACGUACUAGACUGGGGGGUCUAGGGGUCGCAGGUUCAAAUCCUGUCGCUCCGACCA